CUUUCAUUAACUCAAAGCAGUGCUUAUAUACACAAAUGAUUGACCGACCUGCCAAGCCAGCCGCCACACCCGGCUACACUAACCCACUAACCCAUGCACUCACGCACUAACCCAGGCCACUAACACAUGACCUUUUCCUACGGCCAGUACUGCACGGACCACCCCAACUUUCGUUGAAUAUCCGCAGGACCUGCAGCACCGGCUAACAAACUCAUGCAUGCAGCCUAAUCACUACUACAUGCACGCCUAUGCCCGGCCCUUGCUCAACCUCCUCUUAACGGCCAAAGGACGAGGCCAACUCAACAUGCAUCAUAGAGUCCCACACUCCAGCCUUGGUCGCACUUGCCGCAUCACACGGCCACGCUGCCUCGCGCAACACUACAGCCUCACGCCACCAUCGGCAUCUCGCCAUCGUCGUCGUAUCACACGACCCCUUGGCAUCUCGCCUUCUCCACUCGUCUCUGCUGAAGCUUCACCGGACUAGCUACUCUCUAACCUAUCCUACAUACAUAACAAAAGCAAACUAAAUAUGCAGAUACAUGAAUCAAGAUUAAACCUAACAUUUUCCCUUCUAAUCUUGAUUCUCCAAUCUUCACGCGGUUCACCCGCUGCCACUUGACGACACAAUCGCGGCGCUGCACACCUUGCCUGGACCGACGCCAUCGCAGCGCCCGCGUCCAUCACCAUGUACUCUUGCCGCACGCAGCGGCCACCUCUUGACGUGGACGACGCUGUCGCAGCGCCGAUCACCACGCCGUCUUCGCCAAGCGGCAUCGCACCGUAACUUUUGUUGGCUUCACACCAACUUUCCAUGAUGACGAUGGCAUCACACCACCGUCGUCGGCAUCACGCCGACUCUUCUUGUGGCAGCUUCGCACCGCCAUCUUCACAUAGCGGCACCGCAUGGCCACCAUCCUCCUUCUUGCGCCGUCGGCCUCCAUCUCGCAUGAAGUCCGUCGCGCCACAACCGACGCCGUCGCAGCGCCGGUCACCACGGACCAUCUUGUCGUGGAUGACGUCCUCGCGACGCCGAUCAUCGCACCACCUUCAUCUCGCGGCAUCGCACCGCAACCGGCCGCCCGCGGCAUCGCGCCGCUGCCAGCCAUCACCUCGCGCCCAGCGCCACACCGGCCACCAUAGCCGCCGGCACCGUCGUCGCCGCCACGGAUCAACAAGGCUCUGAUGCCAAUUGUUGGCGCCGCCUCCCGCAGCGCCACACUUCUUCUUCUUCCUCGAGCUGCCUCACACAACUCUCCAUCUCUCUUUCUCUCUUCUCAAGAACACACACAAGGGAAAGAAGACUCAACACACACACACACUUCACCGUGGAGAAAGCCAGCUUUGCUAUGUUGCUCCCGGUGAGAACACACACACUACAUUGUUUUCCCAGCCCUCUCGGCCUCUUCCUUCUUUCAUUAACUCAAAGCAGUGCUUAUAUACACAAAUGAUUGACCGACCUGCCAAGCCAGCCGCCACACCCGGCUACACUAACCCACUAACCCAUGCACUCACGCACUAACCCAGGCCACUAACACAUGACCUUUUCCUACGGCCAGUACUGCACGGACGACCCCAACUUUCGUUGAAUAUCCGCAGGACCUGCAGCACCGGCUAACAAACUCAUGCAUGCAGCCUAAUCACUACUACAUGCACGCCUAUGCCCGGCCCUUGCUCAACCUCCUCUUAACGGCCAAAGGACGAGGCCAACUCAACA
rnacentral:lncRNA from 1 species